GAUGAAGAACGCAGCGAAAUGCGAUACUUGGUGUGAAUUGCAGAAUCCCGUGAACCAUCGAGUCUUUGAACGCAAGUUGCGCCUCAAGCCAUUAGGUUGAGGGCACGUCUGCCUGGGCGUCACAUAUCGUUGCCUGAUGCCAGUUUCCUCGUGAUGGGUGACUGUGCAGGGCGAAUGAUGGCUUCCCGUGAGCAUUGUUGCCUCAUGGUUGGUUGAAAAUUGAGUCCUUAGUAGGGAGCGCCGUGAUAGAUGGUGGUUGAGUGACGAACGAGACCCAAUCAUGUGAGACCCCUACCGAAUUUGGCCUUCAUGACCCACAUGCGUCUUUGGAACGCUCAUGACGAGACCUCAGGUCAGGCGGGGCUACCCGCUGAGUUUAAGCAUAUCAAUAAGCGGAGGA
rnacentral:misc_RNA from 1 species